UACGGGGGGGGCAAGCGUUGUUCGGAAUUACUGGGCGUAAAGGGCUCGUAGGUGGCCAACUAAGUCAUACGUGAAAUCCCUCGGCUUAACCGGGGAACUGCGUCUGAUACUGGAUGGCUUGAGGUUGGGAGAGGGAUGCGGAAUUCCAGGUGUAGCGGUGAAAUGCGUAGAUAUCUGGAGGAACACCGGUGGCGAAGGCGGCAUCCUGGACUGGCAUUGACGCUGAGGCGCGAAAGCCAGGGGAGCAAACAGG
rnacentral:rRNA from 1 species